rnacentral:rRNA from 1 species
GACGAACGCUGGCGGCGUGCUUAACACAUGCAAGUCGAACGAUGAAGCCCAGCUUGCUGGGUGGAAGAGUGGCGAACGGGUGAGUAACACGUGAGUAACCUGCCCUGAACUCUGGGAUAAGCACUGGAAACGGUGUCUAAUACUGGAUACGACCUAUCACCGCAUGGUGUGUGGGUGGAAAGAUUUAUCGGUUCUGGAUGGACUCGCGGCCUAUCAGCUAGAUGGUGAGGUAAUGGCUCACCAUGGCGACGACGGGUAGCCGGCCUGAGAGGGUGACCGGCCACACUGGGACUGAGACACGGCCCAGACUCCUACGGGAGGCAGCAGUGGGGAAUAUUGCACAAUGGGCGCAAGCCUGAUGCAGCAACGCCGCGUGAGGGAUGACGGCCUUCGGGUUGUAAACCUCUUUUAGUAGGGAAGAAGCGAUAGUGACGGUACCUGCAGAAAAAGCACCGGCUAACUA